rnacentral:rRNA from 1 species
AUACGUAGGUGGCAAGCGUUAUCCGGAAUUAUUGGGCGUAAAGAGUGAGCAGGCGGUUAAUUAAGUCUGAGGUUAAAGCGUGGGGCUCAACCCCAUAAAGCCUUGGAAACUGAUUGACUAGAGGACGGGAGAAGUGGAGGGAACUCCAUGGGUAGGGGUGAAAUGCGUAGAUAUAUGGAAGAACACCAGUGGCGAAGGCGCUUCACUAGCCCGAAACUGACGCUCAGUCACGAAAGCGUGGGUAGCAAAUAGGAUUAGAUACCCUAGUAGUCCACGCUGUAAACGAUGACAACUAAAGAUUGCCGCGAGGCAGUGUUGAAGCUAACGCAUUAAGUUGUCCGCCUGGGGAGUACGGUCGCAAGACUGAAACUUAAAGGAAUUGACGGGG